GUGCUUGCUUUGGCAGCACAUAUAGUAAAAUUGGAACGAUACAAGGAAGAUUAGCAUCCCCUUGCACAAGGAUGGCAUGCAAAUUCAUGAAGUAUUAUGUAUUCUU
rnacentral:snRNA from 1 species